rnacentral:rRNA from 1 species
UACGUAGGGUGCAAGCGUUGUCCGGAAUUAUUGGGCGUAAAGAGCUCGUAGGUGGUUUGUCGCGUCUGCUGUGAAAACUCGGGGCUUAACUCCGGGCCUGCAGUGGGUACGGGCAGACUAGAGUGCGGUAGGGGGAGACUGGAAUUCCUGGUGUAGCGGUGAAAUGCGCAGAUAUCAGGAAGAACACCCGUGGCGAAGGCGGCUCUCUGGGACGGUACUGACGCUGAGACGCGAAAGCGUGGGGAGCGAACAGG